rnacentral:rRNA from 1 species
AAUGAACGUUGGCGGCGUGGAUUAGGCAUGCAAGUCGUGCGGAAAGGCUCCUUCGGGAGUACUCGAGCUGCGAAAGGGAGAGUAACGCGUGGAUAUCUACCCCCUGGUCUGGGAUAGCGGCGGGAAACUGCCGGUAAUACCAGAUAAUGUCUGCGGACCAAAGGUGUGAUUGCGCCGGGGGAUGAGUUCGCGUCCUAUUAGCUAGUUGGUAGGGUAACGGCCUACCAAGGCAAAAAUGGGUACCGGGUGUGGGAGCAUGGCCCGGCUCACUGGGACUGAGACACUGCCCAGACACCUACGGGUGGCUGCAGUCGAGAAUCUUCGGCAAUGGGCGCAAGCCUGACCGAGCGACGCCGCGUGCGGGAUGAAGGCCUUCGGGUUGUAAACCGCUGUCAGAGGGGAGGAAAUGCGUAGGAGUUCUCUCUUACGUUUGACCUAUCCUCAGAGGAAGUACGGGCUAAGUUCGUGCCAGCCGCCGCAGUAAAAC